UUAACUUUACACGUUCUUUAUUGCUCUCUUUGCUUUAGCUUUAGUCAUCGUCAUCAUUCUUUACAUCACUUUGAUUCUUUGCUUCACACUAACUCUAGUGUCACUUUACUUUACAUUAUUAGAUGCCACUCGAUCUAUGUCAUAGUGUCACUCUGUUCUUUUGCCUCACUUGGGUACUCACAUUUUCUCUCAUGCAUACAUCUAGGGUUCUAACAUUCAUAGGGUCCUCGACCAUCACAUUAAGCAAGUUGUACUCACAAUCAUGCAAUAUCACAUUUUUAUCAUCACUUACCCUAAAAU
rnacentral:lncRNA from 1 species